rnacentral:rRNA from 1 species
GACGAACGCUGGCGGCGUGCCUAAUACAUGCAAGUCGAGCGGACAGAAGGGAGCUUGCUCCCGGAAGUUAGCGGCGGACGGGUGAGUAACACGUGGGCAACCUACCCUGUAGAUCGGGAUAACAUCGAGAAAUCGGUGCUAAUACCGGAUAAUCAUUUGAAGUGCAUGCUUCGAAUGUAAAAGGUGGCUCCGGCUAUCACUACGGGAUGGGCCCGCGGCGCAUUAGCUGGUUGGUAAGGGAAUGGCUUACCAAGGCAACGAUGCGUAGCCGACCUGAGAGGGUGAUCGGCCACACUGGGACUGAGACACGGCCCAGACUCCUACGGGAGGCAGCAGUAGGGGAUCUUCCGCAAUGGACGAAAGUCUGACGGAGCAACGCCGCGUGAGUGAUGAAGGUUUUCGGAUCGUAAAGCUCUGUUGUUAGGGAAGAACAAGUGCCGUUUGAAUAAGGCGGCACCUUGACGGUACCUAACCAGAAAGCCACGGCUAACUACGUGCCAGCCGCCGCCGUAAGAC